rnacentral:rRNA from 1 species
UACGUAGGUGGCAAGCGUUGUCCGGAUUUACUGGGCGUAAAGAGCGCGCAGGCGGUCGUUCAAGUCGCGUGUGAAAGCCCCGGCUCACCGGGGAGGGUCACGCGAUACUGAUCGACUCGAAGGCAGGAGAGGGUAGUGGAAUUCCCGGUGUAGUGGUGAAUGCGUAGAUAUCGGGAGAACACCAGUGGCGAAGGCGACUACCUGGCCUGUUCUUGACGCUGAGGCGCGAAAGCUAGGGGAGCAACGGG